UUGGUCAUUUAGAGGAAGUAAAAGUCGUAACAAGGUCUCCGUUGGUGAACCAGCGGAGGGAUCAUUACAGAGUUAUCCAACUCCCAAACCCAUGUGAACUUAUCUCUUUGUUGCCUCGGCGCAAGCUACCCGGGACCUCGCGCCCCGGGCGGCCCGCCGGCGGACAAACCAAAACUCUUGUUAUCUUAGUUGAUUAUCUGAGUGUCUUAUUUAAUAAGUCAAAACUUUCAACAACGGAUCUCUUGGUUCUGGCAUCGAUGAAGAACGCAGCGAAAUGCGAUAAGUAAUGUGAAUUGCAGAAUUCAGUGAAUCAUCGAAUCUUUGAACGCACAUUGCGCCCAUUAGUAUUCUAGUGGGCAUGCCUGUUCGAGCGUCAUUUCAACCCCUAAGCACAGCUUAUUGUUGGGAACCUACGGCUUCGUAGUUCCUCAAAGACAUUGGCGGAGUGGCAGUGGUCCUCUGAGCGUAGUAAUCUUUUAUCUCGCUUCUGUUAGGCGCUGCCCCCCCGGCCGUAAAACCCCCAAUUUUUUCUGGUUGACCUCGGAUCAGGUAGGAAUACCCGCUGAACUUAAGCAUAUCAAUAAG
rnacentral:rRNA from 1 species